UGAACGCUGGCGGCGUGCUUAACACAUGCAAGUCGAACGAGAAGUGAAGACGGAAACCUUCGGGCGGAAGGCUUUAUUUCGAGUGGCGGACGGGUGAGUAACGCGUGGGUAACCUGCCUCAUACAGGGGGAUAACAGUUGGAAACGACUGUUAAUACCGCAUAAGACCACAGCACCGCAUGGUGCGGGGGUAAAAACUCCGGUGGUAUGAGAUGGACCCGCGUUCGAUUAGCCAGUUGGCGGGGUAACGGCCCACCAAAGCGACGAUCGAUAGCCGAUCUGAGAGGAUGACCGGCCACAUUGGGACUGAGACACGGCCCAAACUCCUACGGGAGGCAGCAGUGGGGAAUAUUGCACAAUGGGGGAAACCCUGAUGCAGCGACGCCGCGUGAGUGAAGAAGUAUUUCGGUAUGUAAAGCUCUAUCAGCAGGGAAGAAAAUGACGGUACCUGAGUAAGAAGCCCCGGCUAACUACGUG
rnacentral:rRNA from 1 species